rnacentral:rRNA from 1 species
UACGUAGGGUGCAAGCGUUAAUCGGAAUUACUGGGCGUAAAGCAUGCGCAGGCGGCUUUGCAAGACAGAUGUGAAAUCCCCGGGCUUAACCUGGGAACUGCAUUUGUGACUGCAUGGCUGGAGUGCGGCAGAGGGGGACGGAAUUCCGCGUGUAGCAGUGAAAUGCGUAGAUAUGCGGAGGAACACCGAUGGCGAAGGCAAUCCCCUGGGCCUGCACUGACGCUCAUGCACGAAAGCGUGGGGAGCAAACAGG